UACGGAGGGGGGGCAGGUGUCAUUCAUAUGGGAUUGGGCGUUAAAGGGUUCGUAUGGUGUUCUCUCGGACAUUACUAUUGGAGCUAGUUCUCAUUUUUACUAUGUGCUUUAGGGUAUUUGUUCCAGAGAAUAGAGUAUAGUAUAAGAUUUGGGUACGCUUCAAUGGAGAGGUGAAAUUCGGAGAUACUUGAUAGGGACCACCUAUAGGUGCAGAGCACAAAUCUCAAACUAUAACUGACGCUGAGGGACGUAAAGCAUGGGGAGCGAAUGGGG
rnacentral:rRNA from 1 species